rnacentral:rRNA from 1 species
AGUGAACGCUGGCGGUAGGCCUAACACAUGCAAGUCGAACGGCAGCACAGUAAGAGCUUGCUCUUACGGGUGGCGAGUGGCGGACGGGUGAGGAAUACAUCGGAAUCUACUUUUUCGUGGGGGAUAACGUAGGUAAACUUACGCUAAUACCGCAUACGACCUACGGGUGAAAGCAGGGGAUCUUCGGACCUUGCGCGAUUGAAUGAGCCGAUGUCGGAUUAGCUAGUUGGCGGGGUAAAGGCCCACCAAGGCGACGAUCCGUAGCUGGUCUGAGAGGAUGAUCGGCCACACUGGAACUGAGACACGGUCCAGACUCCUACGGGAGGCAGCAGUGGGGAAUAUUGGACAAUGGGCGCAAGCCUGAUCCAGCCAUACCGCGUGGGUGAAGAAGGCCUUCGGGUUGUAAAGCCCUUUUGUUGGGAAAGAAAAGCAGCAGGUUAAUACCCCGCUGUUCUGACGGUACCCAAAGAAUAAGCACCGGCUAACUUCGUG